UGCAAGUCGAACGAUACCUUCGGGUAUAGUGGCGCACGGGUGAGUAACACGUGGGAAUAUACCUUUCGCUGGGGGAUAACAUCGGGAAACUGAUGCUAAUACCGCAUACGCCCUUUGGGGGAAAGAUUUAUCGGCGAAAGAUUAGCCCGCGUCCGAUUAGUUAGUUGGUGAGGUAAUGGCUCACCAAGACUUCGAUCGGUAGCUGGUCUGAGAGGAUGACCAGCCACACUGGGACUGAGACACGGCCCAGACUCCUACGGGAGGCAGCAGUGGGGAAUAUUGGACAAUGGGCGCAAGCCUGAUCCAGCCAUGCCGCGUGAGUGAUGAAGGCCUUAGGGUUGUAAAGCUCUUUCGACGGGGACGAUGAUGACGGUACCCGUAGAAGAAGCCCCGGCUAACUUCGUGCCAGCAGCCGCGGUAAUACGAAGGGGGCUAGCGUUGUUCGGAAUUACUGGGCGUAAAGCGCACGCAGGCGGUUCGAUUAGUCAGAAGUGAAAGCCCCGGGCUCAACCUGGGAACUGCUUUUGAUACUGUCGAGCUUGAAUCACGGAGAGGGUAGUGGAAUUCCGAGUGUAGAGGUGAAAUUCGUA
rnacentral:rRNA from 1 species